GCAAAUCUUAGAUGGCUUGAUAUCAAUUACAUCGCUACCGUCAUAUUUUCAGAGGCUACACUUUUCUUUUUCUUUUUUCUUUUUGAUUAAAAAAGUAACAGUUCACGUCGUCAGAGCUCUCAAGGUAUAUUAGUUAAAGCUGAACAUGGUUAGCCUACCUAAAGUCUGUCUGACUGAUGAAUACUUAGGUUUGACCCACUGAAAUUUCAUCAUCUAGCCUAUCUAGGGUUGGUUUUGCAUGCUUAAACAACUUUCAGUUGUCGAUGGACCCUCCUCGGCACAACUCAAUUCAUAUAUGUACAUAUUUCCAUGUGCUACAUACAUGCACAGGUUUGUCUUUGUUAAAAUAUUUGUAGCAGAAAAGAGCAUAUGACGAUCACCGCCUGCACCCCACCACCGAAAAAAUAAUAAUAAUAAUAACAACAUAAGAGAGAGAACCUCAUAUUUCUCUUACAUUACAUCCGGUAUAUGAUGAUAUAUACCGAUGUCCAGACUUUAUAUACGGACUGGUACAAAACAACCCUACAAAAGAGAGAAAAAAAAAAAAACAAACUGAUACCCUAAAAACAUUCUAAUAAGAUCUUACCAACAAAGAAAAAUAAUACAGACCGACAUAGAUUAUCCCAUCACGUAACUCUUGUGAUAUACUAUUUUCAAAAAUUCUUAAACCUCUCUUCCUUUCAAGCAGGGCACAGUUAAAAUUUCAACCUGGGCCAACAGGAGAUCAACCGAUUAAGAGCCUCCUUGUUACAGUUGCUAUUGCAUCUCCACAUACGCAUCUGAUCAGAACCAUCAACUUCCAGUCGUUCUUACUGGCGUUCGUGUAAGCGAGAUAAUUCAUCCACUGAGAAUUUUCAUGUCAUCUAUCGGUCUUUCUCCCCACGAACUCUCGAUUUCCAAACUAUUUUCUUCCAUCGCUACCGCUCUUCCUUUUAUUGGAGUAGAAACUCUUCAUUACAUUGAUUACCUACUACUAAAAACCUAGUUCAUGAAAAAACACGUUUUUUUUUUGGGGGGGAUAAAAAAACAUAGUUCACAGUAAAAGACGUUAAAACACGAACGGCGCAACCACACAUAUACACGGAAGGUUGGGGAAAAAACCUAACAGGAAGGUACCUCCUAAAUAAUAGGGAAAUACGGUAUCCGUAUGACCCGCACGUAUAAGCCCCCUCCGCGUCCCACCCGCCACCGGCCAGUGCGAUGAGAGCCACGCGCUGCAGCCGGAGCAUCGCCAGUCCAGCGCAUGGGCCCCAGCGCGCGAGCCCAUGGCGUAGGGGGCACGAAAGGAGCUCCACACGCACAGGCAAACGGAUACCGCCGUUUCCUCCUGCAUAUUAUUUCGGAGGAACGAAGUCCCGUAGUUUGGGAUUCUCCUCAUAGAUGAAAAAGGCGUAGAAGCCACCGAGAGUGGUCGUGCCUGCCAUCGCCCACACUAUUACCUUAACCGCCAGCGGCAUGAUGGCCGCUACCUUAUAACUAAACAUCAGGGUAAGAACUGUGGCAAGGGUCCAUACCACCACCUUCAACCUUCCCCUUUGAGUGGAAGUUUCCGGUGUCCUCUCAAAGACACGAAGGAAAUAAAAAAGGGACAUGAGAUCGACGUAGGAGCCCACAACGAAGGCCACCAUCCAUGGGUCGUUCAUGGAGCGGUAGAUGGCGAGGAUCGAGUUAUAUGUGAGAAAAGCAAAACCGAGAUAUGACAGCCACGAAUACUCAUCUUUGUUUCGAGCCAACUCAGGCCUCUCCUGGGCGCCCCGGGCGUUUUCGGGAGCCAUGAAGACCGUUAGGAAGCAAGUUUAGCCAGCACUAGGGAGGCAGAUCGCAGAUCGCAGGAUGGUUCGCAUGGCCACCGCGCGAAGAGCAUUUAAGUAAAACGAGCAUAGAUCCCCUGCGGUAGGCGGCAGCAAUGCAUAUUGUGGUGCACUAAUAAAGAGCUGCCAUCUGGCCAGCAAUUCAAAAUACAUAUCAUAUUAUAUGCGACACACGUUAGUGGCUAUCCAUAAUGCGAAGCAUUCUGUGGUGCGGUGCGCGAUUCUUCUUAGGCAUCCUGGUCGAUUGCCAUAGCUUUUACGCAAGUUUCGCCGACCUACCAAAACAAAACAAAUUGCGAAACUUCCAGGAAAUUUCAAAUAUAAAACUUAUUUCAAGAAGUCGCCGUCCAUCACAUGUCCCAGUCACAUCACAUGUCCUGUCAAUGUUGCCAGAAAAAAAUCAUACGGUCCCCACUUCUUUUUUUUUUUUGGGGGGUGUGGUUACACAGGUCACCACCUUCUUUGCUUCCCUCCCGCCCCGCAAAAUUAACUUCCACUUGGAAAAAUUUCCGAAUUUUAAGACCUGUGGCCAUCCUUAAACCUUUGCCGAUGUUACGAGAAAGUUUGUUGGUCGCCGCUACCUUCACCCUUUUUUUUCCUUUCCCUCUCUUGUUAUUUUUGUAAGGGUUAAGUUCACUUUCGAUGGAUCGGAUCCAGAAUAUAAGCCAAACGUGUAAAGGAACACACUAUCGCUGCUCGUUUAAGACGGAAUCGGUAUCGUCACCGGCAUGUGAGCGCAACAAUAUUAAAACCUACCCUGCCGACUAACGUUAUUCAAAAGUUUGAAAGCGGUAGAAGUGCGCGGGUCCGUGCACACACACCGACGAUAGCGAUUCCCACGAAACCUUGAAGGCCCCGCUCCCGUGGAUCUUUCUGAAGAAUUCGGUGAUAUUUAAGGCCUGGUCCCUCCUGAUUGGUUUCUUUCGGAGAGUGGAUGCGCGCCUCUCCUAUCCCAACGGCAACCAGCGUGACGCCACGAAUGACGCCCUCGAAGAGAUAAGGAUUCCUAUAUAGAUGAAAAGGACAGGCCACAUUUUCUUUGCCGGCCAACUUCUGGACGCAUCGACCGGCCCUUUUUUCGUGCCUUAAACGCCACGCAUUAUUUUAAUAAUGCAUAUACCUACUACAAGACACUCGAAUUUAAACCAUCUCGCGACCAUCCGUCGCCCCGCAUGCAUCGGGCACGCACAAUGGUACGUGGGCGUGCCGUUGGGUGUCCGAACGCUGGUGCGACUAACAGUCCAUCCCCAAAAAGUAAAAGCACUGGAUUGAUAAGCGAAGGUCGGACGAGCGACUCUUGAGCGGGACACGUGAACGGAGAAUCUAGCCUUCUUACGGGAGAAAUUAUACUUGACGAGAGAUUAUUGGUUGGAUCAAAUCCACCAGCUAAGCGAUCGACCAACAAGCAUUAAAAAAACACGCGAUCAAGACCUGCCGCACUCAUGCAACUUAACUUUUUGUUGGACUGGUCCACGGCUGAACUUACGGACCUAGUCCAACCAAUAAUUUUACAUAUUCCACAAUCGUGUACCAUACGACGGGCGACCACACCAAGCACAAUCGCGAGGACCUAAUCGUCCAACGUUUAAUCUCGGAGAAAUUAUUGCCUAGACCACGCCCAAGUAGACCAGCGCAAAUCUCGGAGCACGUGCACGGUGGAUAACGCGCAAUCGGGAAUUCGCGACAAGCAAGAGUUGAUGUGGCGCGUUAUUCACCGUGGGAUUUGGCUGGUCCAGCUGGGCUUAAUCAAGGAACACCGCCACUAAAACAAGCGGCUGAUUGGGGUGAUGCACCGUCACUUGGUGCAUAUGCUGUUGGAUAUAACUUAUCCUCUUUCCUCCCUUUUUUUUUUCUGUCUUCUACGUCACCGCCGCCGCCGCCGCCGCCGCCGCCGCCGCUGCAUGGUCGCUGGUGGCGAGCCUCGCGUCACCAACUGCUCGAGGGGGAGAGAUAUAAUCGGAGGGCACGCCAUCGUCGAUAUUUGCCUUCGCAUUCUUCAGCUCGGGGAAGGGGGAAUUGGUACCGGCGCUCGGAGGAACAGGAGCCGUAGCAAGAGAACGGAAUCGAAUAUGUUCAGCAGAGGAGAUUACCCCGACGGGAAAUUUAUUUGACAAGAAGCAAAAUGCUAAUCCGCCUUGUCCGCGGUGGUUAGAACGCGGAGUACCGAAUACAUAGAGCGAUGGGAUCUUAUCCGUCGCACGUAUACUUGUGCCCCGGUCCUUUCGUGUUAUUUCCGCGUCUGAUUCGCGUGGCGGGGUUCUACCGCGUUGCAUCGCCCGAUGACACCAUUCCGCGUAGCGGCCUUCCUACGGCCUCCGGAAUGCAUGCACCCCUGGUUCACUUGGACCUGGUGCAUGCCAGAUUUUCUCCUACCCACGCCACCGACACAGCCGGCGACUACCGUCUAUGGACUAUGCAUUGCGGGUACCACAUAUAGGCCAUAUCAUCAUUACGGUGGUGGAGUAUAUAAUUAGAUUUUGUCACCGAUGCUACUGAGAAUAGAAAUCUUAAAUAGACGUACAAAAUAUGUAAGAUUUAAAAAAAAAACAAAAAAAAGGAAAAGUCUAUGCACCCAAUAAAAAAACCCAACUUAAUUAACUAAUUUAUUCAAUAAAAUUUUAAAAAUCAACAAAAUAUCCAACAAAUUAAGGAGAGCAUUAUAGUACCUAUCUAAAAAAUGAUGUUCAAAAUUAUUCUAAUCAUCAUAUUAUUAAACCCAUAAGCUAUACCAUAGAAUUUUAGAAGAAGCUGAGUGGGAACACAAAGAUAUCAAAGAAUCAAUUCAGUUUUAUGCCAAAAAGAUCAAAUAUAGAAACUAUUUUUCUCCUUUGAAGUUUGAUAAAAAAAUAUAGAGAAAAAAAAUAAGAUUUUUAUAUAAUUUUUAUUGAUUUAGAGAAAUGAUAUUAUGAAGUUUCCAGAGAAGUCUCAUGGUAAGUCACAGAAAAGAAAGGAUUUUAUCGUAAUUAUAUUAAUGUAACUAAAUAGUUACUAGUGUGAGUUAUCCAAUCAUAAUACAUUUGUAUAAAAAAAAAAAUACUCAAAAUCCUUCCCUUUUUACUGGGUAUAUUCAAGACAAUAUUCCUUACCGCAUGCUAUUCAUCAAUGAUAUAAUUUUAGUGGAUAAUCUAAAGUUGAAUUGUAAAGUGAAAUUAUGGAAGAAUCAAAGAAUUUUGUACUGAGUAGGACUAAGACAGAAAACGUGCAAUGUAGUUUUAGUAAAAUUAAAAAUAAAAGUGAAAAUAGAAUAAAAGUUAAGGAUCAUAAAGUUUCUUAAUGUGAUCAUUUUUAGUAUAUAUGAUCAAUUUUUAUAAAAAAAUGAGAUUGAAGUGCAUGUUAUUAAUAGAAAUAAAGUAUGGAAACUAAAAUAAAGAAGUACCAUCAGAAUAACAUGUGAUCAAAGGAUAUGCACUAAAACAAAGAGAAAACUUUAUAUGACAGUAAUGUGACCAGCUACGCUUCAUAGUAUAAAAUUUUGACUAAUUAAAAAAUAAAAUGUGCACAAAAUGAACAUAAUUGAAAUGAGAAUGUUAAAAUAGAUGUAUGAUAAUAUAAGAAAAGAUAGAAUAAAUAUAAAAUUAUUCAUAAAAAAUAUAAAAGUAACACUAACUAAGGAUAAAUUCAAAAAGAGAAUAAAAAUCUUAAAUAUACAUUAAGAGGAUCAAAGGUAGAACAAGGUUAUGCACACAAAAAACGAGAAAAGGUUAGCAAAAGAAAAAGAAAAGAUUAGUUGAUGUGGAAAUAACUUAGUCAAUUAAUUCAUCUAAUAAAAAAAUUAAAAGUAGAAAAAUGAUCACUGAAUGAAGGAAAGCACCAUAGUACCAAUUUACAAGAAUAAAGAUAAUAUUUAAAAUUAUUCUACCUAUCAUAGCAUUAAACUUAUGAAUUGUACCAUACAACUAGGGAAGAGGGAGAUCAAGCAUGGUGAUUAAGGUGUAAAAUAAAGAUAUCGGAGGACUAAUUUAAAAAUCAAGCAUGGUUUUAUGCUAAGAAGGCUGACUAUGGAAACUAUUUUUCUCAUUUAAAGAUUGAUAUAGAAAGCAUAUCAUAAAGUUUCUAGAGAUGCCUUAUGGUGUGUAAUAACAAAGAUAUGAGUUUCUAAUGGUUAUAUUAAUGUAAGCAAGCAGUUACUAGUGUAAAAAGUAUCUGCGAUGAUACCACUGAAUAUCCAAUCAUAAUAGAUUUAUACUAAAAAUUUGCUCAAGAUUUUUAUCUUUUUGUGCUAAUUAUGGAUGAAGUUAUUUAAAAUAUACACGAUGAUAUUUCUUGUUGUGUACUAUUUACAAAUGAUAUAAUCUUAAUAAAUAAAACUAAGAUUGGAGUUAAUCAUAAAUUAAAAUUAUGCAGAAGAGCACUAAAAUGAAAGGAUUUCAAAUUAAGUAAGACUAAGACGAAAGACACGCAAUGUACCUUUAGUAAAACUAAAAAUAGAGAGAGGGAGCGAAACUAGAUGAUCAUAAAAUUCCUAAAAGUGAUCAUUUUCGAUAUUUAUAAUUGAUUUGGGGGAACAAAAACAUAGAGAAGUAGAUAGCAUGCGAUGAAAUUAGAAGAAUAGUUAAGAUUAAGGGUGAGACUAAACAAAAUAAUAUCCAUCCAUACCAAUUUUUGAAUCCAAAUAAGGGCAUGUUUUGUUGGGGGAGUUAGAUUCAUGAAUGAAAAUGAUUGACUCCCAUUCCAGCCAUUUGAUUAAGGGAAGCCAUAUUCUCAUUCGGAUUCCUAGGGAGAUAGAAAUGCUCCAAUCCCCCAAAAAAAUCCUACUUUUCUAUAGUAUUCAAAUUCUAUUCAAUGGCAAUAGUCAAAUUAGAUCCACCUCCACACUGUCCGACCUCAUGUACCUCGGAUAUGGAUAAUCUGAAAACAUGAUCAAGUCGGCCCGGAAAUAUCGAUGACAAUUACACCCAUACAACCAUCAUCGCAUGUUUAAAGUGGUUGCAAUUGUGAGAUUACAUGGGUAUUGAUUAGUUAAGCACUAUUAUAAUCAUUGCUAUGUAAUUACUGCACGUCCCAUCCAUCUGAAUAAUAGUUAUUGAACUCCCUCUAUAAAUAAAGACAAACAAAAAAUCCUCAGAUAAGUCAUUUGAUAACUCAUACUCGCUCUCAACUUUUUUUUGCUUUUGAUUAUUCUUUGAAUUCUGAAUGACUGAAGCAUUGAAGGAUCCCUCGUCAGAAAAAUCUGAUAAGAAAAAUUUAUUUCAAGCUCAUCUGCCGACCAUGGAGUAGCAACAACUACAUCUUUAAGUCUGCAUAGCACAUUGAGAUAAGGCUAUUCACAUUGGUCUUAUCGACCUUAACUCCAGAGUUAAACAGCAACAUCAAUCAUUGUGCAAUACAUAAAUCAUCAUGAUUUGAAGAUUAGAUCUUUUCUUAAAUUUUAAAUAAGAGAGGAUCAUGACUAAAAAAAGUUUGAGAAUUCAGAUCCCCUUUAAUUCGGAUACAUUAGAGAGAUGACAUCGGAUUUCAUAAUCAAAAUUAGAAUCAGAAUCCAAAUGGGAUUUGAAUACUAUUAGAGAGUAGAGAUUAAUUUUUUAGGGAUUCAUACAUUUCCAUUCUCCUCAAGAAUCGAUAUAGAAAUAAGACUCCCUCUAAUCAAAUGGCUAGAAUGGGAAUCACUCAUUUUUGUUUCCAUUCUAAAGUCCAACUCCCUCAGUCAAAUAUGCCCUAAAUUUACUCAAAUAGAAAAUGAACUUGAGUAUAUGGUUAAGAUGUAUAAGCACAAAACCAUGCAGUGCAGAAAAGAGAAAAUAAAUAAAUAUAAAAUUAUUAAAAAAAUAAAAUAUGGAUUAAAUUUUAUAUAAAAGAUAAUAUCUAAAUAAAAUUUGUAAUAUAUUGAAUAGGUUUUACUAUUUGUGAGGAAAAAACUUGGCAAACUCUAAUAAGUUAGAAAAUGAUUAAGCCCAAGCAAUAUAAAUUUGAAAUUUAUGGACUACACAUAGAUACAAUAUGAAGAACCAAAACCUAAUCGAAUUGGCACACAUGAAAAUUAUCAACCGUAUAUUUCGCUCUUUAACUAAAAUUCCCUGUUACACACUCUAUGUUCUAAAUCCUCCCUUAAAAGGGAAAUCCUAGCCGCUAAUAUGUGGUUUCUAAAAUCUAAAUCAUGGUUAUCUAGGUUUUCUUUUUUCUUUUUUUUUCCUCUAGGCGAUCUCUAAGAGCAAAAACUAUUUGUUAAGAUACUUAAAGCUACUAUUAUGGUUAUUGAAAGUGUUGUCUUAAAAUAUAAACUUUGAAAAUUGCUAAUUCGAUGGAAGAGUACCUGCAAAUAUGAUACGUCCAUAUCCUCCUUUCAUUCUCGUGCCUUGGUAGUGCCCCUCCACCACCAACACCACCACCUAGUUUUCCUUCAACACCAACACCACAACCAGCACCACCACCAACAGCAUUCUUUGUUAAACUUUUUGAAAAAAUUAUAAAGUAUCAUCAAUAGGAUAUAACAUUAUGUUUACGGCAUGAUUGAUUUAGUGCUUACUAUAUAUUUUCUGCGCGUUCAAAAGGGUUUUCAAUGUCUACCUGAUUUUAUAAUCUGGCAGUAACCUGCUACUAUUCGUAUUUGUCCACAAUGAUGCUUGUCUUUCCAAAUCCUCCACGCUUAUCUGUUAAUAUUCAGAUUUUUAGGACAACUUGGAUUACGCAGUGUAUGAAGAAUAACCAAAAAAUAAGUAUGAUGAUAAGAUAUAGGCUUUUCGAAGGUAGAGGACAUGGAUUCUAUGCAUUAGAAGGUUUUAAGAAAAAAAGAACCCCAAAUCCUUGAACUCACACAAAUCCAUAUUAACAUUAGAGAGAGAAGAAAAUGUCAGGAACCUGGAUGCAGAUGGUGCUGGGGUCGAGGGACGAGAGAACUCGAGCCAGUUGUUCUUCACGUGGAGAAGCAAAUCGUUGGUACUCCACUUGGGGAACUUCAGAGGCUCCUCCUGCUCCAAUUUUCCUCGAUCGAAGAAAGGCAUUCCCUUCUUCAACUCACCGUUUUAUUCCAUUAAUCCAAUGAAAAAGCUACGAACUUUUUUUCCCUUUCAUCGUUUAAGCUUAUAAACAUACGAUUCGUUAAAAUCCCUAUAAUAAACCCAUUUAAAAUCCCAAAAGUUCCAAUUUUUUGGGAAAAAUCAAGCUAUUCGCAUUAGCGAGAAACUCACCUCAGCGUUCCUCAACCUGGGCGCGCGGUCCGCAUCAUUCCGUCAAGACCGUCCGCUUCGAGGGGUGCAUCACCUCUUGCAACCCUCGAGACGAAGAGUCCGCAAACCAUUAGCUUUCCGAGAAUCAAACGCGAGGGGAAUCACCUCGAGGUUAAGAAAGGGUCACUAUCGAGACGAAGAGUCCGCAAACCAUUAGCUUUCCAAGAAUCAAACGCGAGGGGAAUCACCUCGAGGUUAAGAGAGGGUCACUAUUGUACCCGCAUGAUCUUGUGGAGGCGGUGCUCAACGUAGGGGCCGAGGGCGCGGGCGACAUCGGAGGAGAGGUUGGCGAUGCGGAUGCUGGGCGCGAUGACCUUGAUGGUCUCUUCGGAUCGAUGCUGGAUGGUCUCCUUUCUCUCGUCCUAAUUGAGCUCUCUUCAGGCGGGAGGCUCCCUUUACUACAGAGCUCUCCUCACGCGGGAGAUGUUCGACCGUAUGCCCUCGAGAGAGCGAGAGAAGGGAUACAUGGAGCGGUAGGGCGAACUGGGUUCGCUUCUAUGGUCUGGGUGUAAUAUUCGUGCUCGAGCUUGUGCCUUUGACGGAUCGGGUUUGGAUUCUGGAAUCCGUUUUGGGGUUGGGAUCCAGAAUUUCGGUUUUGUUUGCGAGCUUAUUUAAUCUGGCACAAUUGCCUGUGAGGAAAAAUAACUAAAAAAUUAAUACAUCUUCUACUUGAUUUAUUUUCAUCUAUUCCAAUUUCCAAUUUAUAUCUUUAUCUAUUUUAAAUAAAUAUAAAUAUAAAUUUUAAUAUCCAAUUAAUACCUAUAUGCACUUAUCAAAUAAAUAACCAGUAUGGAUAUCCGAUUAAUUUUCAGUCUCAUUAGUAGUAGAUAUAAAAGCAAGACAUGAGAUGUUCUGGACAUUGCUAUCGAUGUGAUUACUCUUGGUGCAUGCAAUGCAUGUAUACAGAGAAGCAACCAGUAUAAUAAUGAAUAGGGGACAAAGGUUUCUUGGGUUAAAAAAAAAUACUGAUAACACAUUUAAAUUUUGAAUUAUAUGAGGUGGGAGUUUAUGACAAUGAAAAAUGAUAAUCAAAAAAAUAUAAAUAAUUAAUAUAUUAUUUGUGGUAUUUGCUAACAAUGUGGAUAUGCUUGUACAAAUAAUAUUUCUUUGAAAUGUGAAGGGUAUUUCUAUUACUGAGUUUGUUGGAUUUAGAAUUUAUUUGACACACUCCUCUCAAUUUAUGAUAUACUAUAUAUUAUGGUAUAGAAGGAAGGACAUCAUUGGUCUCACAUUAGUUAUGAGUCAAGAGGAACUCAAGCUUAUAUAGGAAGAGACCAUCUUUUCCACAUAAGGCGUCUUUUGGAUUGAAAUCCAGAAGGACGAACCAUGAGUCCCAUGGGGUGGAGCAGAUAAUACCUCGUAUGCUGAAGCACUGUAGUCUCCUUAACUGGGGGCUAUAAUGUGGUGUAAAUGGAAGGACGUCAUUAGUCCCAUAUUGAUUGAGCCAUGCCUUUGAUCGCAACAUUGUAUAUUGUUCUUUGAAGAAAAAGUAUUAUAUGUUCAUACAAAAAGUUGAGUAGGAACAUAAUCACAGAUGUAAUCAUUCAAUAAACUCAGCACCAAUCGACUUGUCACCAUCUUUGUAAAUUGAAUGAAAUAAUAAACAAACUUGAAGGUUCUCUCAUACAACGGAUGUGUUUGCAAGAUUCAAUUUGUGGAUUGAAAUGAUUUAUAAUGAUUCCCAAAACGAAAUGUGUGUUGAUACUCAAUUUUUUUCAAAACAAGCAAAUUUCUAAAACUUAAUGCAAACUACAUAAAAUCCUAUCUUGAACCAACUUAUCUGAAUAUAAAGGAGCCCACAAUUAUAUUGGCAUCAAUCAACUUAUUUUUUAUAUCAUUAAAUAUAUCACUCACUCUCUUCCUACCUUGAAAACUCGAUGGUGUUUUUUGGCCAAGACCAUAUCCUUGCCAUUUGUUUAGAUGUGUUGUUACCACAAUCCAAACCAUAAAGUUGAGAUUGAUAUGGAAGUUUUGAGCUUGGAAGUUGCAUUGUAGAGUUGAAAUAGCUAAUAGCAAAUAGAUCCAAACUCAAGUAAAGCAAUGCCUUGUUAACCUGAAAAUAGAAAAGAAAAUCCUUUUACUUGAGUUUGUUGGUGGGGAACCCUCGGCUUGUCACCAUCUUUGUAAAUCAAAUGAAAUAAUAAAUAAGCUUGAAGGUUCUCUCAUGCAAUGGAUGUAUUUGCAAGAUUAAGUUUAUAGAUUGAAAUUAUUUAUAAAGAUUCUCAAAAUGUAUUGUGUUGAUACUUAUUUUUUUUCAAAACAAGCAAAUUUCUAAAAUUUUAUACAAACUACAUAAAAUCCUACCUUGAACAAACUUAUCCAAAAUAUAAGGGAGCCCACAAUUAUAUUGACAUCAAUCAACUUAUUUUUUGCAUCAUUAAAUAUAUCACUCACUCCCUUCCUAUCUUGAAAACUCAAUGGUGUUUUUUGGCCAAGACCAUAUCCUUGCCAUUUGUUUAGAUAUGUUGUUACCAUAACCCAAACCAUAAGUUGAGAUCGAUACGGAAGCUUUGAGCUUGGACGUUGCAUUGCAUAGUUGAAAUAGCUGAUAGCAAAUGGAUCUAAGCUCAAGUAAAGCGAUGCCUUAUUGACCUGAAAAUAGGAAAGAAAGUCCUUUUACACAGAGUUUGUUCGUAUGGAACCCUCCAAUAUUUAAAUCAGUUGGAUUCUUGGAAAAUAAUGAAAGGUUUGAGAGGGAGGCAAGGAUUUUAAAGAGAGAAUGAAGAGAAAAAUAUACUUGGAGCUUGAAGGUCCUCAAAUCUCUCCUAUAUAUAGAAUGGGUUGGAGUCGAUAAUCGAGAAUAAUAAGAUGUGCAAUAAUUGGUUGGUACCAACUCCUAUGUUGUGCAUUUGGUGAGAAUCAUUCUAAUCAUAUAGUACAUUCGAGCUAGCAUAACUGUUGCCGAUAUCAUGACUACAUUUUUAAUGGACACUAAUAUAUAACCCAUGCUUCGCGGUGGGGUUUAAUUGAAAUAAAAAAAUUAAAAUAUUUUAUCAAUAUAUAGAUUUUUUCAUACAAUGUAACAUAUAGUGUUUUCAUGAACUAAGGAAUCUAUAUCCAUGCUAAUCUUCAUCUUCGGUAACCUCUUCAUUUAAAAUGAAAAUAAGAAUAUCAAAAAAUUUUAUAGAGCAUUACUAAAUUGAAAAAGUUCUAUAACAAAAUAUAAAUCAAAAAGAUUGAAAAAUAAGUGGUAAUAUUUGAAAUUAAAUAAUCUCCAAUAUAAUCUUUAUAUCCUCAUUCCAUCAUUUUGAAUCUAUGUCACAAAUAAAAUCCAAUGACAUUCCUUUCAAAUGAAGCUAGAACAAAAGUUCCAAGUAUAAGAUGUAUAAAAAUUUUUAUUACAGAAUACAAACAUACGAAUAAAAUAAAUACAUCAAUAUCAUAAAAAAGUAUCGAAUAAAGAUAAAAAAUAAAAUAAAGGACUUGCAAUAAGUUUUUUGCACAUGAAAUUGAUAUGCAAAAUCAUUCUACUUUAAUUUUUCUAAUAUUAGCCCAACCUUAAACCAAUCCCUAGUUAAAUCAAGAGUAUAUCCAAACUGGAUUCGAAAAAAUAAACAAACUUUAUAUUUUAAUCCAACCUUGAUUAUUGAUUUUUCAGACCUAAUUUGUAGAAUAACACCAAACUGAUUCGACCCAUUAUGUGUUGAUCGGAUCCAAUUCUAUGAACAGAUUAUUUAUUAUUAAAUCUUAAAGUCAAUCAACAAAUGUAAUCCAUAAUUUUAAAUCUAUUUUUUCUAAUUAUCAAUUGUUUAAACCAAAUACAUGUGUGUAUACAUACAUACACACACAUAUAUAUAUGUAUGUAUGUAUGUAUGUAUACAUACAUNNNNNNNNNNNNNNNNNNNNUUUCAUCAACCAAAACGAUCAACUUUGUUUAUGUCGAUAUUUAGAUAUUUUUCAGAUCAUAUAUAAUAAAUUUAAAUAUUUUUAUAUAUUUCAAUAUAGAAUUCUAAAUUUAAUCUUAAAAAUCUUCAAAAAAUUAUUUUUUUGAUGAAUUAAAAUCAUUCAAGUAAUAUAAUCUAUUUUAUUUUUUUAAUCUUCUCAUACCUUUUUAUCUGCAUAUAUAAAUCAAGAUAUCUUACAUUUUUGUGCAUAAAUUCUUAUAAUUUAUUUUAAAAAAAUAUGUUAAAAUAUAACAUAAAGGUCCAAAAAUGCGAUGAGCUAAUUUUGUAUUUGAUGCUGCAAUGGGCUUAAUGACAGUAAUCAAGAUAUAUAUAUAUUUUUUAAAAUAUAUAAUCUAAUCCAUUAAAUAAUAUUUCACAAAAUUUAAAAUAAAUUUAAAAUUUAAAAUUAAAAUUUAUUUAAAUUUAAAAUUUGUCAAAAUAUGAGCCUAAAUUUUUGGACAAUAUUCACAAUAUUCGGCUGCUCUAAGCCUCCCUCGGGACAUCUGAGUAUGAAAAAACAGAGAAAAAUUUUAAAAAAAUAUCGAAAAAACCAACGAAAACGAAUGAAAGAUGAAAAAAAGAUGGUAAGCCCUUUUUUUUUUCCCCUCUCCCUACUUUUUCUUUUCAUUCGAUUAUUUUUUCGGAGAUGUAGGAAAGGAGGGCAGUUGAGAGAGAUUAGAGGGUUUUUUUUUUUUGGCCCAAGUAUAUGGGAGUUUGUGCGAGCUGUGGCGGUGUGAGUUGGUCCCUUGAGGUUGUGAGAACUUAAUCUUAUGUCUCCAUUGUUGCCAUGGACGACUGUUCCGUCUUCGCUCCAGCGCCCACCGCCCGAUGUGCUCCCUGUUGGUGACCAUGGCGUCCGCGAGGGCUCGAGAAGUAUUCGAGGGAAAAAGAAAAGGAAGUAUUUGCAGCCCAAAAAGUUCUCGAACGGGUUCGACUCGCUUAUAUACUCUGGGCUUUUCGCAGGCCUGUACGACGCGGCUUCCAGUGUCUCGUCCGCUAGACUCGCUUUUUGGGUGCUCUAGGUUUCGAAAGGAGUCGGAGGACGGACAUGGCCUCCGGCCCGGCCGCUGCUCCGGGCUCCAGCCGGCAGUUCAACCUCGCGAAGGAGAGCGAGCUUAGGGUGGAGGUCGGCCCCGAUACUCCGCUCCGCGUCCGCCUCCUCUCCGGCACCGCGGAGAUCUUCGGCACCGAGCUUCCCCCGGAGAAUUGGCUUUCCAUCUCCCCUCGCCAAAAGCUCGCCGUGAGUUCCUUCCGUUUCCCUUCCCUUCCCCUCUUACCUAUUUUCUUGUAUUUCUCUCGUUAAUCUACUGUUGACUGCAAGAACUUGAAAAUCCUCGCUUUAGAUUUUCACAUGGAACGGCGCGACCGUCGAAUUGGAUGGAGUUAGCGAAGUUGAGUACGUUGCAGAUGAGGUACAUUAACUCAUGGCAUUUGGAUGGGUUUGAAGAGAUUUCUGUUUUCUUGGAUGUCUGGUUAUUUAUUAGUCGAGAUUUUACGUUUUGAUGAAUUUUAGACGCCUAUGGUGAGUUAUGUGAAUGUCCAUGCUAUUCUUGAUGGACGAAGGGUUCGUGCUAAAGCAUCCCAAGGCAGCGACAAAGAUUCUUCCCAGGUAUUAAGCUAUUUGUGUACUUCUAGCCCUCAGUGGUUACUCAGUUUCUUUCAAUUUUGCAACUGAUGGUGUUGGCUGUGAGUUAAGCAAUGACCACAUUCGCAGUUGUGGUUGUUUGCAGGGAAAGGCUGUUUCUGGAAAACUAUACCUUUGAGCGAUACAGAAUAUUCAUGUAGAAUGAUGAACAUAUAGACUGUGGGGUUCGAUUGUCGUCAUAACAAGUCUCACAGAUUUGGGAUUUAAAAUUGGUUUAGCAGGUUAAGAAAUAUUGGCAACUUGUAAGUGAUUUUGGCAAAGAGUGGGUAUUGCAGUUAAGAGUAAAGAACUAUAACAGAUUAAUGACAGGGAAAGAAUAUAAAGAAUGUGCAUGAGGAAAGAGAAAUGUUCAUUUAAUUAUUAAGUAUAUGGAAAAAGAUAUAUGCUAUCUCUUGUUAAAAAAUAUGUAGAAAACGAAAAAGUAAGUUUGUGAAUUUGUCAUCAAUUUGAAUGGUUCGUACUAGUGACAUACAUCAUUAGGAUGUCAAGUUAGGGGCGGUAUAUUGGAUGUGAUAGCUUGUUUUGGAUACAUAUUGUAAUUGGACUCCUUGAGUGAGAUGGGCUACCUUACAUAGAUGUUACUGAAACAUGUUAAGAGAUUAUAUAUGUUUGUGUAUAAUAAUUACUUAAAAGGAUUUACUUUCGUGCUACUUGUUCAGUGAGAGGUAGCAUAAGGUAUCUUCCCAUUCAAAACUUGGUAGGAGUUCAAGCAUUCUUUGUGGAGUUUGUAGUCUUUAAUCAUUUUUCUUUCUUACUUUUGCUGUCUAAUAAACUUUACAUUUGAAGUUCAAGCAUUUACUUUCUUAUUAUUUCAGGGUCCUCGAGUGAUUGUUGUUGGACCUAUGGAUUCUGGAAAGAGUAGCUUGUGCAGGAUGCUACUUAGCUGGGCUUGUAAACAAGGUUGGAAACCUACAUUUGUGGAUUUGGAUAUUGGUCAGGGGUCUAUAACAAUUCCUGGAUGUAUUGCUGCUACGCCCAUUGAGAUGCCUAUAGAUGCAGUGGAAGGAAUUCCUCUGGAAAUGCCUAUUGUAUAUUUUUAUGGGCACACUACUCCAAAGUAGGUUCUCUUGCCUCAUUACCAGCUUAUUAAUCAAUAUUUUAUGAUACAUCGGUCUUU
rnacentral:lncRNA from 1 species